rnacentral:rRNA from 1 species
AAGGAACGCUGGCAGCGUGCAUAACACAUGCAAGUCGAACGAUGAAGCAUUCUUCGGAAUGUGGAAGAGUGGCGAACGGGUGAGGAACACGUAAGAAUCUGCCCCUCGGUCGGGGACAACUCUUGGAAACGAGAGCUAAUACCCGAUACGCUGUGGAGUGAAAGAAUUUCGCCGAGGGAUGAUCUUGCGUCUGAUUAGCUAGUUGGUGUGGUAAUGGCACACCAAGGCGACGAUCAGUAGCUGGUCUGAGAGGAUGGACAGCCACAUUGGAACUGAGACACGGUCCAA